rnacentral:rRNA from 1 species
AGUAUAAAACAACCUCCAUGAAGAAAGGACUAAAAAUCCUUAUUAGAGAAAUACACUUCCAAAAAUUAACAAAUUAACUUUUAAUGAUCCGAUAUUUGAUCAACGAACCAAGUUACCCUGGGGAUAACAGCGCAAUCCACCUCAAGAGCUCAUAUCGACAAGUGGGUUUACGACCUCGAUGUUGGAUCAGGGUAUCCUAGUGGUGCAGCAGCUACUGAUGGUUCGUUUGUUCAACGAUUAAAACCCUACGUGAUCU